rnacentral:rRNA from 1 species
GUCUGACGGAGCNCGCCGCGUGAGUGAUGAAGGCUUUCGGGUCGUAAAACUCUGUUGUUAGGGAAGAACAAGUGCUAGUUGAAUAAGCUGGCACCUUGACGGUACCUAACCAGAAAGCCACGGCUAACUACGUGCCAGCAGCCGCGGUAA